UUCUUUAAAUCUUUAAAAUAUCAUAAAACUGAGCUAUCGUACAUUUAUGAUCAUUCGACCGGAUUUUACCUGUUACGAAAUCAAAUACCAGUGAUUCAGUAUAACAAAAACAUAAUUAUUGUAAAAACAAUUCCUACAAAAACUUUUAUUCGUAAGUAGGUAGUUGUGCGUUUUUGUGAAAAACAUAACUUCUGUGUUUUGUGAUUUACAAUAAAGAAAUUUAUACAGUGAUUCAUAAUAUACAUCGGCGUUCAGAUUAGCGGAACCCAUAAACAACAAAUGCCGCCACCCGCCUUGAGAUAUGAGCUCUAAGUUUCAAUAUUAUUGAAUAACGGCUGUAACACCUUGCACACCAGACCGACUUGCUCGCACCAGCAGAAAGCAGUGGGCAGAAACAAAGAGAACAUCAGGGGUUGCUCCGAACGCUGUUGUUCGAAGCAUGUCUCCAAGACUUCUUGGUUUCUUUGUGAACGGAAUGCACGCUGGCGACGCACUACUACAGACAGGCGAUGGAAAAAAUCUACCACCGGAUCGAAAACGACCCACUGAGAAGAUCCGGCGAGAAACUCAGUGGGCUGUGUCUGAGGGUUAAUGCACUCGCCGAGCCCUUCAUCGCAAGCGACGGGUUCGACGAGAACGAUGACCGGGGAGUGCUUGCGCCAAGCCUCAGUUCACAAACUAUGAAGAACAACAGCUGUCAGGGCUGUAAUAAGCAAGGAUUCCACAUGACCACGACUGCUCUGUAGCCGACUAUGAUGAUAACCGAUUUGUAAAAUUCAAGUCCUAGAAUAAAAGGAAAAAAACAACUACAACAAAUUAAAAACAUUGAGACUUAAUUAAAAGCUUUAAAAAACACAUAUCAGUAGUAUUUCAUGACGUCACAAACUACAAAUGUUUGUCAAUUGUAUCUCUAAAAGUGCUAUCUUGCUCGCAUACUCGCUAACAUUAACAAAAUUUGAAGUAAACGUAUAGUUGUAUAUUUAGGGCCAUAAACACAUCAGACAAUAUAAAUAAAUGUAACAAAAAAAAAUACAUUUUUAAUCUAAAGCAUUAAGAAUAUUAAAAAAAAUAACAGAAAUAAAAGGUCACCUCUACAUCAGUUUAUUGUAUUAUAAAUGUCAGGGAUGUGUACAGAUUAUGUUGUUCUCGUCCAACGCGCGUCCAAUUCGUAGUUCCAAACGUAAUCUAUGUAAUGCCCUUACUGAUCUAACAAAGUCAAUUCUGAAAGGGUCAUUUCACUAAAUCGAAUUACAUUUUUUUUUUGUUCUUUCUGGACGCGUUUUAUAGAUUGGACCAGGCACAGGACACUACUAGUAAAAUUAGAACGAGACCCGUAAUUGUUGGAAGCGAAACGCUUGUUACGAACCCUAACCUCCACAUUUUGUUUAGGAAUUUCGACAUUAUAUUUAUGGUAUUAAGGGUCACAAGAAUGCAGGCUUAUGUUUGCGUUUGCAUUCAGAAUUAGAACAAAGGGUUGUCACCCGUAGAACGUCGCUCAAUAAAGUUUAAUCAGAGCAGACAGGCAAACGUAAGUUACGUUCUACGUGCCACGUAUUUCCUCUUCAAAGUAAAUAUAGAACUAGUAUAUUCCUUCGUUAAUGCUCUCGGGGUAUGUUAGAAUUCGUAAGGCUUGCUUUACGUAAAUUAGAAUUAAGUAAGAUUUCAUUUGUUAGUUAUAAAUACGGAUCCGGAUUUAGGAUUGUGCAGUGCGCAUUUAAACUUUAAUUCUCGUAGCUUUUAAUUCGUAUGAUCACUAUUUCUAGAUGUCAGAAAUUGAUUAUUAAAAUUUAUCUAUAUAAA